rnacentral:rRNA from 1 species
UACGGAGGUUGCGAGCGUUGUUCGGAUUUACUGGGCGUAAAGGGAGCGCAGGCGGCUAGGUUAGUCUGAAGUGAAAGCCCGAGGCUCAACCUCGGAAUUGCUUUGGAUACUGCCUAGCUUGAGUAUGUCAGAGGCGAGUGGAAUUCUAGGUGUAGCGGUGAAAUGCGUAGAUAUCUGGAGGAACAUCGGUGGCGAAAGCGGCUCGCUGGAACAAAACUGACGCUGAGGCUCGAAAGCGUGGGUAGCGAACAGG